rnacentral:lncRNA from 1 species
CUUAUGUCACUGAUCUUCUCUUCUGGGGGUUCAACAACUAAAGUUUGGAGACCAAAACUAGAAAGGUAACUGAGCUAUGCGGACAGCCAAUAUUUUGGCCCUGGCCCCUCAAGGUCAACAAAGAUACAGGACACAAAGGAGCCUUUCCUACAGGAUCCUCCAUUGUUGGUAAGUCACUCAACCUCCUGAGCAGGGAGAUUGCUGGGCACCAGAGGACAAACGUACCAUGUGCCAAAGGAGGGUCACAAAGAGGGAAAAAUCUCGCAUGCUUUCACUGAAAGCAAUAUGGUCAAGCAAGGCUGUGACCCAUCCUGAUGGCUGACACUGAGAGAGGAGCUGAGAAGCUCUAUGCAUGGUUCCAAAGUAAUGCCUAGGAAACUUAACUGACCUUGAUAGAUAGCAAGAGGUUCAUAUUGAUUGACACAGGUCUCACUUUAACUUGAUCUUAAACACCCUGAAGAAAAGAAUAACCAAAAGAGGUAUAAAUAAGGUCAUAGUAAUAAAGCUAGAUAUAAAAAGGGGCUCCAAAUGUGGAGAACACCUUGGAAUAAGAUGGAAUUGUAUAACCCUAAGUGUGCUGUAACCCUAAAGUGUGCUAUGACUUUAAGAGUGUUGUAACCUAAGUAUAACACAAUCAUAAGAGUGAUGUGUAACCAUAAGAUAUGAAAGUAAUGAAAGUAGAACCUUAACUGGUAUGGAACUGAUAAGGGUGUAGCCCGAACUGGACGGGGCGUACCCCAAACUGGACAGGGCGUACCCUGAAUUGGACAGGGCAUACCCCGAGUUGGGCAGGGUGUAUCCCAAGCUGGACAGUGUGAUAAGUCUGAAAGGAGCUGAAGACCCCAAGCAAAGCGACGAUCCGUCCACCGACCAGUCGGCCAGUCAGUCUGAUGAUCUGGGCAUCUACAAGCUACACUGUCCUGGGACAGUCCAUCAUUCUAGCACCCAAGGUCAGGAAGAAUUUCGACCCAAACAUUCACAUACAUGAGGUUCUAUAAUGAACAAAUGAGAAAAGUAUAUAAUGUGUUUUUUAAAAGUCUCAGGAUUUUAGCAAAUUUUAAUUCAGGUUUUAUAUGUUCACAUUGAUACUGACUGAAAUAUUCUACUGGCAAACACCAAACACAAAUAGAUAAUUGGCCUUCUAAGAAUCCAAAAAUCUACAGAUAAGCCAGACAUAUCUUACAAGCAUUUCUGAAAAGAGGUAACAAAGAAGAUAGGAGAUAUACUGCUCAGAGGUUCUGUAAUCAGACACUAAAAAUCAGUCAACACAGGCAAAUCUUCAAUUACUCGAUUCCCUGUAGCAAUCAUUGACAGGGCUGUGUCUGGGUUGUGCUCUACCCAUGUAAUUUUCACCCUGAAAUCUCAGGACACUGAUGACAUUUAGAAAAAUCUCUAGUUUUAAACUCUAUGAUUAUCAACCUUAUUCCCUCUUUAGUAAACAGUCAUUUCUCAUGCAUAAUGUAAUUGUCUAAAUUAUCCAUUUAGUGGUAUUCCUUAUUGAAAGAAAAAUUUGAGAAAUUAUCUUGCUAAAUAAAUCAAUUACAGAUCCCUUCCAAAAAUUUAUAUUGGGAAAAGUAAUUUCUUUUCCUUUUCUUUUUUGCUUGCUUGCUUGCUUCCUUCCUUCCUUGUCUUCCUUCUUUCCUCCUUCUGCUAAGGUUCAAACUCAAACAUAGUUUCCAAAUGUGAAGCAGAUGUGGCCAGUUUUUGACCUGGCCACUCCAAGGUCCAUUUACUUCUAGAAGAAAAGUGUAUCACUAGCAGGCUUUCUCCCAGACAAUGUUUUCAUUUCACAGAUUUUCACUUUGUUUUGUUACUACGUAACUAAUAUAUCACCACAUAUAAAAAGCACUGAGUACUCAGGAAAAUAAAUUACCUACAAAACUCUACAAUCAACUCUAAAAUCAGUGCAAUCACUCUGCUCUUCUCUGUCUACAACGGGAGACACCACUGAUCAUAAUUUCCUGAGAGUUUUUCACUGAAAUAAAUUACACCAAAUUUUGUCUUUCUCAAAACAUCCCUCCUUUUACUUUUCUAAUCUUCUUAAUUAUGAUGUGUCAUAGGCUAAUAAAUAAUAGUGAAAGAGUCAAUUUCAGGCUAAUGGGGAAGAAAACUUUCAUAACAUUUUGAGGAGAAACUGGGUUCCCCAAAACUACAAGUAUCAAGUACUGGGCACUUAUUGGCCUAUCAGGCCUCUAUUCCCCAAAACUAAUUUCUAAAAGCAAUUCCAAAGCAAGUUGUUGUUUUUUUUAAUCAAAGAAAACCAAUCAAAUUUUUGAAAAUCAGGCUCACUGCAGAGAAGCAAAACAAAUGAAUUCUCAACCACAACUCCAGGAAGGAUUAAUGUCCCUAAGGACUACUAUAUUUUUUUCAUACAAAGAUGAUA